rnacentral:rRNA from 1 species
UGCCCGUACCGGAAACCGACACAGGUGGACGAGGGUAGUACCCAAAGGCGCACAAGAGAACCCCUGUUAAGGAACUCGGCAAAAUGCACGUGUAACUUCGGGAUAAGCGUGGCCUCAAGUAGGUGAUGGGGAGAAACCGAAGCUGAAAGAGGUUGCAAAAAAGAGGCUCUGGCGACUGUUUACCAAAAACGCAGAUCUCUGCUAAGACUUAAGUCUAAGUAUAGGGAUUGAGACCUGCCCGGUGCCAGAAGGUUAAAGAAGGGGGUCAACGGGGUAACCCGUGAAGCUCUUGACUGAAGCCCUGGUAAACGGCGGCUGUAACUAUAACAGUCCUAAGGUAGCGAAAUUCCUUGUCGGGUAAGUUCCGACCUGCAUGAAUGGUAUAACGACUGGAGCGCUGUCUCAACAGGGGACUUGGUGAAAUUGAAGUAUCGGUGCAAAUACCGAUUACCCGCAGCUAGACGGAUAGACCCUGUGAACCUUUACUGUACCCUGGCAUUGUAUUCUGGCACGUUCUGUGUAGGAUAGGUGGGAGGCUAUGAAGCGUGGGCGCCAGCUUGCGUGGAGCCAACCUUGAAAUACCACCCUUAACGUGUCGGACUACUAACGGAUGCUGUGGAAGCAUCUAGACAGUGUCAGGCGGGCAGUUUGACUGGGGCGGUCACCUCCCAAAGUGUAACGGAGGUGUACGAAGGUUCCCUCGAGCUGUAUAGAAAUCAGCUGAAAGAGCGUAAAGGUAUAAGGGAGCUUGACUGCGAGAGAGACAUCUCGAGCAGGGACGAAAGUCGGUCUUAGUGAUCCGGUGGUUUUUGUAUGGAAAAGCCAUCGCUUAACGGACAAAAGGUACUCCGGGGAUAACAGGCUGAUACCGCCCAAGAGUUCACAUCGACGGCGGUGUUUGGCACCUCGAUGUCGGCUCAGCUCAUCCUGGGGCUGAAGUAGGUCCCAAGGGUUCGGCUGUUCGCCGAUUAAAGAGUUACGUGAGCUGGGUUCAGAACGUCGUGAGACAGUUCGGUCCCUAUCUACUGUGGGCGCUGGAUAUUUGAGGGGAGCUGUUCCUAGUACGAGAGGAUCGGAAUGGACGUACCUCUGGUGCACCAGUUGUCGUGCCAACGGCACAGCUGGGUAGCUAUGUACGGAAGGGAUAACCACUGAAAGCAUCUAAGUGGGAAGCCUCCCCCAAGAUUAGAUAUCCCUCAAGGUUCCAGGUAGACUACCUGGUUGAUAGGUCGCAGGUGUAAGUACAGUAAUGUAUUCAGCCGAGCGAUACUAAUAAACCGUUUGACUUGCCCUU